rnacentral:rRNA from 1 species
UACAGAGGCCUCGAGCGUUAGGCGGAAUCACUGGGCUUAAAGCGUGUGUAGGCGGGCCCGUAAGUGUCUUGUGAAAUCCCACGGCUCAACCGUGGAACUGCUGGGCAUACUGCGGGUCUUGGGCCAGCUAGGGGCAGCCGGAACAAGCGGUGGAGCGGUGAAAUGCGUAGAUAUCGCUUGGAACGCCGAAGGUGAAAACAGGCUGCUGGGGUUGCGCCGACGCUGAGACACGAAAGCCAGGGGAGCAAACGGG